UUCCAUUGCCUCCUUGGUCAUCACCAACUAUUGCUGAUACUGUGCUUCAGUUGCAUCAAGCUCCAACUUUAGUAGUUGGACAUCAUGUUCUUCUGUCUGUUAAGAUGACCAACUACUGCUGAUGUUGUGGUCCAGUUGCAUCAAGCUCCAACUUUUGUAGUUGGACAUCAUAUUCUUCUGUCUGUUAAGGUCCUCAAGGACACAUACAAAUAGUUUCUUGUCAAGUUCAUUAAAUUAAAAAAAAAUCCAUCUAGAUCGAACCUGAAGUAACAUGUAUACACUCAACUUACCUAGCUGCCACUUUCCUGCAUUUUAAACUUCAUUGUUCAAAUCCUGAAGUUCACCUCUCAUAGUCUCAUAGACAUGCCAACAUAAUAUAUGCUCAAACAUGAUCAUUAUUCAAAUUAAGCAUUCUUCACUCAUUACCUCAGAAGAAACUGAUGCUUGUAACCCUUUAUCUUCCAUAAGAAACUUUCACUGUGUGCAAAUGUUGCAUUCUGUCUCAUCCGACCACUGCAACUAUGUAAUUCUGCAUAGCAAAACAACAAUCAACAUAUAUAAUCAUAUACAAUUUAGUUUAUUUAAUGCAAACCUUAAAGUUGUAAUUAGAUAAGACGGUGACGAAAGCUCAUGUAUAGGUCUUGGCUUUAUCAGUUGCUUUAUCUUUCCAUUUCCAAGCAAUAAUUUUUUAAUCUGUUUGGUUUUGAUUUCGAAAUUCAAAAAAUUUAAACAUGAUCACUAUAAUUAAAAUACCAAUAAUAUAUCAACCAAUUAAAAUUUAAUUCCCAAAUUACGUUAAAGCUCUAUAUUCAAAAGACAAAGAUUUAAAUGUAUUCAAAAGACAGAUUUUUAUAUCCAAAACUAUAUAUACUACUUUAUUCCCUUAAUGAGGGUCCUAAUUCAAAAGACAAAGAUUUAAAUGUAUUCACCUUGAAGAACAUGUUUCCCUGCCUUAAGAGACAUAUCCACCUGCACAAUUUGGUUCUCGUGUUAACAAUAUUUUUGAUCAAACAAAUAAAACAAUUGAAGAAGAUAUUAUUCCGAUAAAAAAAAUUAAAUCCAAGAGUGAAGACGGCUACAAAAUAGAAUUUUGCUAAGGUGUGCUAAAGUAUCCUUCUAGAAAGGAAUUACAAUUUUAAUGAAUAUCAAAAUUGAAAACCUUUGUGUUACUAUUUUUAUAAGAUGUUGAGUACACUGUUACUCUAGAAAAAGCUUACGAUGUGCUUUUAUUAGUAUGUUUUCUUAUUUUUCAUUAUUGUUUUGGUGGAGUCACAAUCUUGGCAUUAAUAAUCACUCUCGCAACUGAUGUUCAAGCUCAUAAGGUUUAUGAUAGAACGUUUUAAUCGGUGCAGUCAGGGCAAGAUUUCAAGUUCACAAAGUGAGUGCAAAAUCCCCAAGUGUCCUGUUUUGUAAGAAGGAUCAUGUUUUGUAAAAAGGAGUUAUAGGCACAUUACAUAGUUUGGAAAAUUUAAUGAACGCAAAAUGUAUUCAUGACUAAAGCAAUCAACAAACCCCCUUAUUCUUAAUGUAAAUGUUCAUGAUGUUAUGCACAAGCUUAUUAAACUGAUAGCUUCAAACACUUUAUAAAAUAAAACAAAAGCAUUCCCGCGACAAAAUAAGUUGCUCAGCAGAUAAAAUCCAAAAGAAAGAAAAUGUAUACACCUAGCCUAACCUUGGCAAGUCUAAUGUCGAAAAAAAUUUCCAAAUCCAAUAAAAGUUUCAAUUUUGCUAUAAUAUAAAAAAGAAAUUUGCAAGAAAAUCUCACCAUUUACUACAACAAAACAAAUAUAAAAGAAAUUAAAUUUUACCAAAAUCCAAAAAUAAUAUGCUUUAGUGAUUACCAACAUGUCAUACAUUAAAACUAACAAAUGAAGAAAAUUUCAAAUCUGACAAAAUAAUUUUUCUACCAAGAAAGAAGCUUGCUAAUUGAUUGGAACGUAACAAAAGUCAUGAACCAAUUACCUGACGUAAGUUGCAAAACGUAGUAAUAUUUACACCAAGUCCAACAACACCUCCGGAUAUACGAUAUUUGUCGUGGUGGAUGAUCCAUUAGGAGGGAGAAGGACACUGAUGCGAUCAGCCGACAUGCAUCUAGACAUGGCCACAUAUAGGUGACCGUGUCUGAAUACAGGCAAAGGCACAUCUACACCAACAAACUUGAGGGACUAGCCUUGCGACUUAUUGAUUGUCAUAGCAUAUGUUAAGCGUACUGGGAAUUGGCGUCUAGUCAUUUGAAAUGGUAAAUCUUUGGUGGACGACGGUGAUAAUGAUAUUUGCGGGAUGAAACACAGAUUUGUCACCGGUUAGAAUUCUAACCUCAAUAACCCGCGAUGCGCACUUGACAACCAUUAAUCUGGUGAUGUUACAUAGUCCAUCUUUCGAGGCUAUAUUCCUCAACAAUAUGAUGGUGCACCCAACCUUUAGCUCCAACUUGAAAGGCAGUAAACUUGACGGGUUUAGAGAAUUUAGAAACUUACUUAGAUAUUGAUUAGUGGUAGAACGACAAAGUUCGUCCCCAUCUGACACCUUGUCAGCUGCCAAGUAGGUACGUCUCGCCAGGAUAAAUUUGUAAAGUAACAUCGUUGAUAUCACAUACAUCAUUCCGAGCGGAAAGAAUUGUGCGCUCAGUUAAGUAAGAUGGGGUUACCGCACUGAGCACAUCUAGUUGUGGAUUAACUCUGAAAAUUAGUUCAUGCAGAGUUCGACACCUGUAUCGUUAGAGGAAGUUCCACAGUAUCUUGCGUACUGAUCCCAAUCUAAGUAUGAUGUGAAACAUAUCAGUACAUAUAAAUGAAUAAUUAGAUGGUUUUAUAUAAAUAAUCUAUAAUAUAAAUCACCUCUUCCAAGAAGGAUAAGUGAGAAGAAUUUGUAGGAUUGCUAUUCAAACGCAUGUUUAUGCUCAAAGUCAUUACGCACACACUCGCCCACAUUGCAGAACGUCUUAAAGAUGCACCAACAAUUUGUUCUUGCCCUUAGGUAUCACCGGUAGUAUUUGACGAAAAUCCCCGCCAAGCACAAUCGUGAUACCACCAAAUGGUCGGUUAUCAUCACGGACGUCACGAAGUGUGCGAUCAACUGCCUCAACACCACGUCGAUGUUGAAUGGGAACUUGGUCCCAUAUUAUCAAGCGAGCCUCCCUAAAUAAUUCCCCAUGCGGUGACUGUUUGUUGAAACCACAUACCGAGCCUUCUAUGAUAUCGAAUGGAAUGCAAAAUGUAAAAUGAGUUGUCCGACCGCCUAACAACAACAACGAUGCAAUUCCAGAUGAAGCAACUGUAACGACGAUAUGACCCUCGCUGUGCAUUUUAGUGGUGAUGGUGAUGUACAAAAAGGUUUUCCCUGUUCCUGCACCUCUACUUAGGAAAAACAUUUUGCCCUGAUUUUCAGCAACGGAGAUAGUGAUAGCAUCAUAAGCCGUACGUUGAGCAUUAUUUAAAUCAUCAAUAUUCAAAAGGUUAUUCAGUUGAUUAGCUUCAUUUCAUAGUUGCAUAUGAUCGAUCAACAAUCUAUUAUUUGAAAUAAAACUCCAAUUUUGAACGGGGUGUGGCAUAGGUGGGAAGUCAUCCAAUUUUUUGCCAGAUUCAUGUAGCAACUGAUCAAUCAAAUAUAAACCGUAAUCUUCGAUUUGAGGUUGCGUUGGAUCGCAUAUGCCAAAAGUUGUUUGUUGCUUGUGACGAAGAUCAUCACAUAUAUGGACGGAGAAUUGAUUCCACAGAGUGCAUGACUAUAUUGGGGAGCAUUCUACCAGAAUGAUGUAGAAUAGUCUCCGUAACUGGUAUCCCGUAUUCAUGGUUGAAGCCUCCUGCAGGCAUUGUACCCAUUCUGCAUCAUCUUCUAGGAGCCCCAUAGCUACAGACGCUAAUUUAAAACUAUCAUGAAACACACCAUUGAUCGUGCGUAGACCAUCAAAAGAAUGCGAUCCUCUAACAACUGUUAAUAGCAAUUGAAGGUAAAACCGCUCCCCCAGAAUUGGGCGUAGCAAAGUAUAAUCUACCAAUUGCAAACCCACUCUGCCUCGGAGUCCAAAUCUUCCGACCUUUGUUCCAAAUGAAAUGUUGGGAAAAUUCUUGGUAUGUGUAGGCACGCGCAACAUCAUUUGAAGAACAGUCAAAGAAUCCAGAUAGAAUUGUGAUUUGACUCCUAGACCCAAGUCUAAUUGUUUCAAAUGUUUUAGCAGGAUCGUAAACAACUUGAUGGAGAUCUAGCCGUACAAGCGAAGGAAUUUCUUCAUGGAGAGGAUAACCGAAAUGUCGCCAUGCAGUCUUUGUCAGUCCAAUAUACCUUGCAUCAAGGUAUUGAUUUAUCUCAUUGUUUCCAUAUGGACCCUCUAAAACCAUAGUUAUGCGGUCAUGACCUUUGUAAAUGUACUUGUAGAUAUAUUUGACGCACCUCAUUCCUGCACAGACCUCCACAUUUAUAUGACAGUUAAACUUUCUUGAUAGGUGUGGAUUGUAAGGUACGACCUCUCGAUUAUCAAAUGUAUGCCCUCUGGUGGUGUAAGACUGACCAUUACAACGACGACGGUAAACAGGGUACCCAUGUUCAUCCAUAGUAAUCGAAUCUACAAAGGCUUUUGGAUAAUGGAAUCGACAUGCACCAUGCAAGUUGAAUAUGGGUUUCGAGAACCAUAGAGACCAUGAACCAUACAACUCUUGAUUGUUUCGUACAGAGUUGGAUCUGGGAAUUCAGUACUAACUAACCGAUCCACUUCCACUUGUGCAGUUGUCUGAAUCUUGUCAGGGCCAUAAAGGAAGAAUAAAGCAUGAAUGUGUGGUAAUCCUCGUUUUUGGAACUCAAUGUUAAAUACAUGAGCAACUUUUCGACCAAAAUUUUGUUCAUUUUUUACCCCAUGCAUCAGAGCAUGCCGUUUUAACUAAAAUACACGGGCAACUAUGUCUGGACGAUCCAAAGAGGUUUGGUGUUCUAGUAAGGCAGUUGUUAUUUCGGGUUGGCCGUCAUGGUGAGAAAGAUGUUAAGGUGUUGGUGGUACCUUGUAAUGGCCAUAGAGUCGUGAAAAAUUUGGCUCAUGUUACGUGCACUCCCAGUAAAGGACGAUAGCAGAACAAAGCGUUGUCUGAUCUAAUCGAGGCCCAACUCAUCAACACUGUCGUCACACAAAUUUGCAUAAAUCUCCCAACUCAAUUUAUCCUGAUUGAGUCUGAUGUAAGACAACCUGCUUUGCUCCGUUGAUGCCCAAGCAUCUACUAUAAACUCUUGAAAUAACUUUCCUCCUCUUACGAAUUGUCAAAUACUCGGUGGGACGCGGAAAAUACGUUAUGUAAAAUUGCAUGUGUCAUCCUUCUUACUUAAAAAUCAUUUUGUUCGGAGUUUCACUGUCGUAGACUAGGUUCCCAACCAAGCUAACCAGUAGGGAAUAGAAGUACAUAGUGUAAUGGUAAAUAUGCCGGAUGACACUUAUUGAUCUAACUCAGGGCUCUAUUAUCUCCUUUUAGGUGCAGAACAAUAUCCCGCAUACCACUACUCUCACUACCAUCACCAGGUAAAAUCAUAGCUAUUUCAUCUGUGGUUGGAAGAUUGUAUCGAUGCCUAUUUGUUAAUGAGGUGUAAUGAAGGUGAGCACGUAAAUCAUGAUCUGAAGAUUCUGACUCGGUUAGUAUUUCAUGGGCACGUUUGUACUUUGAAGCAAAAUGAUUCACUGAAAACAAACGAUUCUGUAUAAUGUGGAGGACAUCUCGACACAAGUUAUUAUUUUGCGCACACCGAAUAUUCAAUGUUGUGGCUGAGUCAUAUAUGUACAACUGACAGUAGAUGGGUAUGCGACCAUCCGGGGGUAACAAUAAUCCGGUACGGUGACAUAAUUCUCCAUAGAUAGUGAAUGAUGUUGGCCCUCUUGAGUUGAGUAAUCUGUCGUUAAGCUUAGCACCCAAGCUCGUGAAAGCAUUAGCUGCAUUGUACUCCCUAAUAUGCCGACAAAAUGAUUUUGCUUGACCAUCAUGUUCAUCGUACAAUGCACGAAUAGGAGGUGGGGGAGCAAUGAGUUCCGGUAACUUAAUUUUGCAUUGUAGACAACAUGUUCCGAAUCUUGGAUUGGACAAUCCUGUGUGAGAAAAUGACGCUCAUUAUUAUACCUGGCAAAAGAGGCCCAGGCCUGCGGGCCAGGCUUUGGGCUGCAGUUGUUUAGCCCAUGAAAGUGCAAGCCUUUUUGGCCCGGCCCGUGGCCUACGACUUAUUUUUUUUAAAAUUAAAAUGUUGCUACUUGUGAGUUGUGAAGCUUGAACACAAGACUUGUAAGUAAAUAAAUAAGAGUUCAAACCAACUGAGCUACAACAACUAUUUGUUUUUAAUGCAAUCUUCAAUAUAUUUCAACUAUUUGUCUUCAACUAUUUGUUUUUAACGCUCUCUUUCCUAACUUGUGCGCUGUGCCAACUUACGCCGCGAGCACGUACUACUUUCAUUGCCAUUUCGUUCACGUCUGGCGCGUUGGGCCUUAAUUUUAGAGGAAGCGAAAUUGAUGCGGGAAGACUUUCCAAUAUUGACACCACCCAAGUCACUCUCCCAAUUCUCCAACCAUGCUCCAUUUGCUAACAUGGUUACUGCAGUCCCCCCACAUUCUCAACCAUCUCUUAGUACAAUAUUGGCUAAACAUUCGCCUCUCAGUUGUGCAAUGUCGAGGUACAUUUAUUAUUGUCAUUGUUUGUAUUUGGAUUAAAAUACAUAAAACUAACUAUUUGCAACGCCAAAAUGAAUGCGUACUUGUGCGGGAAACACGAAUUAUUAACAAUCAUACUGCACCUUCAAUGUCGAAAGUAUAUCACACGCCUACUAAUUGUCGGAAAAAUAGAAAAGAAAAUGUCUACCUCUUUGGUAAGUUUUUUUAUUAAUGUCUUCGAAUUGAUACGUAUUUCUUUUGCUCUUAAGAAAAAUAGAGUUGUAAUGUAUUGUCUUUCCCCUGUUGGAUAGUUGCAUAAGAAAAUACCAGGGAUUUACACUCCCCCACAACCCUUAUGUCAUGAUUUGCAAGACCUAACUCCAUUGCACCGAGCCACUAUAACACACCUUCCACAAAAAAGGUCGCGGACAAAUAAUUUGGAAUGUUAUCUAACACCUAUAAUUGCGUUCGACCCAAUUUUCAUUCCAAGUGACUUUGCUCUAUUCUCACCUGUUCUGGUGCGACCUUUACCCUCGCCUCGAAAUUUAGAGACAGACUUUGCUCACUAUGAAACUGUCCCCGAUGUAGCACCACAUUCUCAUCAAACUGAAGACAAUGUCCUCAUGACGUCUUCUUUGGUUCUGGCAGAUCUAACAGUGUAUGUAUAUUCUACAUAGUUUAUUAGUUGCCUACUAUUUUCUUACUUCUCAUAUUUGUGUACAUAUAGUUUUUAUUUGUAGAUUCCCACCAGAACCAUUUAGUGACCAUUUAGUGAUGUUGACAGUAUGUUUAGUGAUGACAAAUUGAAUGUUAUUGUCCCUGUCAAUAAUGAGCAUCAUUUUCUCAGGUCGAUGAAUAUUUAGAGUGUCCUUAUUGUCCAACCUUACAUUGGCGGGAUGAACGAUUAUCUCGCACAGGAUUGUCCAAUCCAAGAUUCGGAACAUGUUGUCUACAAUGCAAAAUUAAGUUACUGGAACUUAUUGCACCCCCACCUACUAUUCGUGCAUUUUACGAUGGCCAUGAUGGUUAAGCAAAAUCAUUUCGUCGGCAUAUUAGGGAGUACAAUGCAGAUAAUGCUUUCACGAGCUUGGGUGCUAAGCUUGACGACAGAUUACUCAACUCAAGAGGGCCAACAUCAUUCACUAUCUAUGGAGAAUUAUAUCACCGUACCGAGUUAUUGUUACCACCGAAUGGUCACGCACCCAUCUACUGUCAGUUGUACAUAUAUGACCCAGCCACUGCAUUGAAUAUUCGGUGUGCGCGAAAUAAUAACUUGUGUCGAGAUGUCCUCCCACUAUACAAAAUUGUUUGUUGUCAGUGAAUCAUUUUGCUUCAAAGUACAAACGUGCCCAUGAAAUACUGAGUUAGAAUUCUCAGAUCAUGAUUUACGUGCUCACCUUCAUUACGCCUCAUCAAAUAAUAGGCAUCGAUACAAUCUUCCAACCACAGAUGAAAUAGCUGUGAUUGUACCUGGUGAUGGUAGUGAGAGUAGUGGUAUGCGGGAUAUUGUUCUGCACCUAAAAGGAGAUAAUAGAGCCCUGAGUCAAAUCAAUGAGGGUCAUCCAGCAUAUUUACCAUUACAGUGGAACUCCUAUUCCCUACUAGUGAGCUUGGUUGGGAACCUAGUCUACGACAGUGGAACUCCGAACAAAAUGAUUUUUCAGUAAGAAGGAUGACACAUGCAAUUUUACAGUUAACAUAUUUUCUGCGUCCCACCGAGUAUUUGACAAUUCGUAAGAGGAGGAAAGUUAUUUCAAGAGUUUAUAGUAGACGCUUGGGCAUCAACGGAGCAAAGCAGGUUGUCUUACAUCAGACUCAAUCAGGAUAAAUUGAGUUGGGAGAUUUAUGCAAAUUUGUGUGACGACAGUGUUGAUGAGUUGGGCCCCGAUUAGAUCAGACAACGCUUUGUUCUGCUAUCGUCCUUUACUGGGAGUGCACGUAACAUGAGCCAGAUUUUUCAUGACUCUAUGGCCAUUACAAGGUACCACCAACACCCUGACAUCUUUCUCACCAUAAUGGCCAACCCAAAAUGGUCAGAAAUAACAGCUGCCUUACUAGAACACCAAACCUCUUUGGAUCGUCCAGACAUAGUUGCCCGUGUAUUUUAGUUAAAACGGCAUGCUCUGAUGCAUGGGGUAAAAAAUGAACAAAUUUUUGGUCGAAAAGUUGCUCAUGUAUAUACCAUUGAGUUCCAAAAACGAGGAUUACCACACAUGCAUGCUUUAUUCUUCCUUUAUGGCCCUGACAAGAUUCAGACAACUGCACAAGUGGAAGUGGAUCGGUUAGUUAGUGCUGAAUUCCCAGAUCCAUCCACUGAUCCAACUCUGUACGAAACAAUCAAGAGUUGUAUGGUUCAUGGUCCCUAUGGUUCUCGAAACCCAUAUUCAACUUGCAUGGUGAACGGUGCAUGUCGGUUCCAUUAUCCAAAAGCCUCUGUAGAAUUGAUUACUAUGGAUGAACAUGGGUACCCUGUUUACCAUCGUCGCCAUAAUGGUCAGUCUUACACCACCAGAGGGCAUACAUUUGAUAAUUGAGAGGUCGUACCUUACAAUCCACACCUAUCAAGAAAGUUUAUCUGUCAUAUAAAUGUGGAGGUCUGUGCAGGAAUGAGAUGCGUCAAAUAUAUCUACAAGUACAUUUACAAAGGUCAUGACCGCAUAACUAUGGUUUUAGAGGGACCAUAUGGAAACAAUGAGAUAAAACAAUACCUUGAUGCAAGGUAUAUUGGACCGACAAAGGUUGCAUGGCGACAUUUCGGUUAUCCUCUCUUCAUCUCUCCAUGAAGAAAUUCCUUCGCUUGUACGGCUAGAUCUCCAUCAAGUUGUUUACGAUCCUGCUAAAACAUUUGAAACAAUUAGACUUGGGUCUAGGAGUCAAAUCACAAUUCUAUCUGGAUUCUUUGACUGUUCUUCAAAUGAUGUUGCGCGUGCCUACACAUACCAAGAAUUUCCCCAACAUUUCGUUUGGAACAAAGGUCGGAAGAUUUGGACUCCGAGGUAGAGUGGGUUUGCAAUUGGCAGAUUAUACUUUGCUACGCCUAAUUAUGGGGAGCGAUUUUACCUUUGAUUGCUAUUAACAGUUGUUAGAGAACCGCAUUCUUUUGAUGAUCUACGCACGAUUAAUGGUGUGUUUCAUGAUAGUUUUAAAUCAGUGUGUAGCUAUGGGGCUCCUAGAAGAUGAUGCAGAAUGGGUACAAUGCCUGCAGGAGGCUUCAACCAUGAAUACGGGAUACUAGUUACGGAGACUAUUCUGCAUCAUUCUGGUAGAAUGCUCCCCAUACAGCCAUGCACUUUGUGGAAUCAAUUCUCCGUCCAUAUAUGUGAUGAUCUUCGUCACAAGCUACAAACAACUUUUGGCAUAUGCGAUCCAACGCAACCUCAAAUCGAAGAUUACGGUUUAUAUUUGAUUGAUCAGUUGCUACAUGAAUCUAGCAAAAAAUUGGAUGACUUCCCACCUAUGCCACACCCCGUUCAAAAUUGGAGUUCUGUUUCAAGUAAUAGAUUGUUGAUCGAUCAUAUGCAACUACGAAAUGAAGCUAAUCAACUGAAUGACCUUUUGAAUAUUGAUUUUUUAAAUAAUGCUCAACGUACGGCUUAUGAUGCUAUCACUAUCUCCGUUGCUGAAAAUCAGGGCAAAAUAUUUUUCCUCAGUAGAGGUACAGGAACAGGGAAAACCUUUUUGUACAUCAUCACCACUAAAAUGCUCAGCGAGGGUCCAUAUCGUCGUUACAGUUGCUUCAUCAAGAAAUGCAUCGUUGUUGUUAAGCGGUCAGACAACUCAUUCUACAUUUUGCAUUCCAUUCGAUAUCAUAGAAAGCUCGGUAUGUUGUUUCAGCAAACAAUCAUCGCAUGGGAAAUUAUUUAGGGAGGCUCGCUUGAUAAUAUGGGACGAAGUUCCCAUGCAACAUCGACAUGGUGUUGAGGCAGUUGAUCGCACACUUCGUGACGUCCGUGAUGAUAACCGACCAUUCGGUGGUAUCACGAUUGUGCUUGGCGGGAAUUUCCGUCAAAUACUACCAGUGAUACCUACGUGUGGGCAAGAACAAAUUGUUGGUGCAAUUUUAAGACGUUCUGCAAUGUGAGCGAGUGUGUGCGUAUUGACUUUGAGCAUAAACAUGCGUUUAAAUAACAAUCAUCCUGUAAAUUCUUCUCACGCAUCCUUCUUGGAAGAGGUGGUUUAUAUUAUAGAUUAUUUAUAUAAAAUCAUCUAAUUAUUUAUAUAUAUGUACUGAUAUGUUUCACAUCAUACUUAGAUUGGGAUCAGUACGCAAGAUACUAUGGAACUUCCUCCAACAAUACACAGGUGUCGAACUCUACAUGAACUAAUUUCCAGAAUUUAUCCUGGCGAGACGUAUACCUACUUGGCAGUUGACAAGGUGUCAGAUGGGGACGAACUCUGUAAUUCUACCACUAAUCAAUAUCCAAGUGAGUUUCUAAAUUCUCUAAACCCGUCAGGUUUACUGCCUUUCAAGUUGGAGCUAAAGGUCGAGUGCCCCAUCAUAUUGUUGAGGAAUAGAGCCUCGAAAGAUGGACUUUGUAACGGGACCAGACUAAUGGUUGUCAAGUGCGCAUCGCGGGUUAUUGAGUCUAUAAUUCUAACUGGUGACAAAUCUUUGAAUCUGUGUUUCAUCCCCCAUAUAUCAUUAUCACCGUCGUCCAAAGAUUUACCAUUUCAAAUGACUAGACACCAAUUCCCAGUAAGCUUAACAUAUGUUAUGACAAUCAAUAAGUCGCAAGGCCAGUCAAGUUUGUUGGUGUAGAUUUGCGCCUGCCUGUAUUCAGCCACGGUCACCUAUAUGUGGCCAUGUCUAGAUGCACGUCGGCUGAUCGCAUCAGUGUCCUCCCUCCUAAUGGAUCAUCUACCACAAUAAAUAUCGUAUAUCUGGAGGUGUUGUUGGACUCGGUGUAAAUAUUACUACCUUUUUUAAUGUUUUGCAACUUAUGUAGGUAAUUAGUUCAUGACUUUUGUUGCGUUCCAAUCAAUCAGCAAACUUCUUUCUCGGUAGAAAAAUUGUUUUGUCAGAUUUUUGAUUUGAAAUGCUCUUUAUUUGUUAGUUUUAAUUUAUGACGUGUUAGUAAUCACUAAAGCAUAUUAUUUCUUUUUUUUUUAUUUGGGUUUGGAUUUUGGUAAAAUUUAAUUUCUUUUAUGUUUGUUUUGUUGUAGUAAAUGGUGAGAUUUUCUUGCAAAUUUCUUUUUUAUAUUAUAGCAAAACUGAAACUUUUAUUGGAUUUGGAAUUUUUUUCCAACAUUAGACUUGCCAAGGUUAGGCUAGGUGUAUACAUUUUCUCUCAUGGAUUUUAUCUUCUAAGCAACCUAUUUUGUCGUGGGACUGCUUUUGUUUUAUUUUAUAGUGUUUGAAGCUAUCAGUUUAAUAAGCUUGUGCAUAACAUCAUGAACAUAUACAUUAAGAAUAAGCGGGUUUAGAUGAUUGCUUCAGUCAUGAAUAAAUUUUGCGUUCAUUAAACUUUCCAAACUAUGUAGUGUGCCUAUAACUCCUUUUUACAAAGCACAAUCCUUUUUACAAAACAAGACACUAGGGGAUUUUGCCAACUACUCACUUUGCGAACUUCAAAUCUUACCCUGACUGCAUCGAUUAAAACAUACCAAAAGUUUUCUAUCAUAAACCUUAUGAGCUUGAACAUCAUUUGCGAGUGAUUAUUAAUGCCAAGAUUGUGACUCCACCAAAACAAGAAUUAAAAAUUAGAAAACAUACUAAUAAAAACACAUCGUAAGCUUUUUCCAGAGUAAACAGCGUACUCAGCAUCUUCUAAAAUAAACAUCUUAUAAAAAUAGUAACACAAAGGUUUUCAAUUUUGAUAUUCAUUAAAAUUGUAAUUCCUUUCUAGAAGGAUACUUCAGCACACCUUAGCAGAAUUCUAUUUUGUAGCCAUCUUCACUCUUGGAUUUAAUAUUUAAUUUUUUUUAUCAGAAUAAUAUCUUCUUCAAUUGUUUUAUUUGUUUGAUCAAAAAUAUUGUUAACACGAGUAACAAAUUGUGCAGGUGGAUGUCUCUUAAGCUGCUGAAGGCAGGGAAACAUGUUCUUCAAGGUGAAUACAUUUAAAUCUGUCUUUUGAAUUAGGACCCUCAUUAACGGAAUAAAGUAGUAUAUAUAGUUUUGGAAAUAAAACUUUGUCUUUUGUAUAUAUAGUUUUGAUUAUUUUUUUGGGUGAUGAGCUUUAACGUAAUUUGGGAAUUGAAUUUUAAUUGGUUGAUAUAUGAUUGGUAUUUUAAUUAUAGUGAUCAUGUUUUUAAUUUAAAUUAAAUUUUUUGAAUUUCGAAAUAAAAAAACCGAUUAAACUAUUAUCGCUUGGAAAGAUAAAGCAACUGAUAAAGCCAAGGAACAACCUAUACAUAGGGGUGAUCAUUCGGUUAUAACCGAACCGAAAUGGCUAUUCGGUUAUAACCGAAAACCGAACUAUCGCUAAUUCUACUAUCCGAAAUACUAACCGAAUUACCGAAUACCGAAUUACCGAAUGUACAAUUCGGUAAUUCGGGUAAUAACCGAACCUGUGCUCAAAAUUAAAAUUAAGAAUAAAGCAACAGAAUACAAUUAAGAAUAAAAUUAAGAAUAAAGCAACAGCAGCAACAACAUGACUAAUGACUCAAAGGGCUGGUAGAAGUGGAAAAUGGGGAAUUUGGAAGGCUAGAGGUAAAAGAUUGUGGAGACUAAAAGGAGGGUUUUCUUUUGAUGUCAGGGGCUUCUAAAGUGAGGCCAAUGACUGUGGCUGAUUCAGAGGCGAGGUCGGUUCUUGGACCCACUGCAAACAAGAAGCAGAUAUCAUCAAGUAUUUGGAAGUCUGUGGCAAAGCCAUUAAGAAAGGUUGAUAUAUUACCAGAGGAUGUUUCUUUGGAGGCAGACAAUAAACCUCUUUUAUCGCCUACUGCUGUUGCGUCAUCGUCGCCUCUAAUACAUUCUAUGUCUGUUUCUUCAAUACUUCGCCGACAAGGGUCAUUAGAUUGAGUCGGAGAGAGGGAAAGGCCAGAGAUGAUGUAACGAGAAGCAAGGCUGAGGAAUUGAUUUGAGAUCUCAGAUCUGGGAGCGACGGGCGACGGCUAGGGUAAAAAAU
rnacentral:lncRNA from 1 species